GGGCGUCACUCCGGCGCACCACCCGACAACACUAUGGUGCGACAAUCUCGGGGCCACAUACUUGGCUGUCAAUCCAGUUUUUCACGCUCGGACGAAGCAUGUUGAGAUCGAUUAUCACUUUGUUCGAGACAAGGUCGCAUC